AAUCUGAAAGAACGUGGAACCUGAAACUAUUGUCUGGUGGGCUGGUGGCUGAUUUUCAUUCAAUUGGGCUGGUACACCUCUGUUUUGACUCCCAUACACCAAGAAUCGAGGGCGCCAGCAUCCGUGGGAGUAAGACUCUCCGGCUUUGAAGGAGGAGACAAAGGCCGAAGGGCAGACACAUUGCCUUCUGUUCAUGCUGCUUGAUGUUGAAACACCAACCACUCACCAGUCAUUUACUCUCACUUGCUCAUUGGAUCAUGUGCACCACCAUAGUUAGAAACCUUUAUGUCACAGUUAGCGCAAUGCAUUGGGAUUUUUUUGCUAUGCACAGAAUACGAAGGUUAUAUUAUAUCUCUAUAUUUUGAAUGGGAGUCAUUGAAGCCUAGGCAAGGUACUUGUAUUUGGAUCUGGCAUAAUUACAAUCAUCCUGUCAUCAUCAGUUUCACUC